GGGCCCUUAGCUUAGUUGGUAGAGCGCCGCAUUUGCAAUGCGGAGGUCGCCGGUUCGAAUCCGGCAGGGUCCACAA
rnacentral:tRNA from 1 species